rnacentral:rRNA from 1 species
AUUGAACGCUGGCGGCAUGCCUUACACAUGCAAGUCGAACGGCAGCGCGGGGCAACCUGGCGGCGAGUGGCGAACGGGUGAGUAAUAUAUCGGAACGUACCCUGGAGUGGGGGAUAACGUAGCGAAAGUUACGCUAAUACCGCAUACGAUCUAAGGAUGAAAGUGGGGGAUCGCAAGACCUCAUGCUCCUGGAGCGGCCGAUAUCUGAUUAGCUAGUUGGUGGGGUAAAGGCCUACCAAGGCAUCGAUCAGUAGCUGGUCUGAGAGGACGACCAGCCACACUGGGACUGAGACACGGCCCAGACUCCUACGGAGGCAGCAGUGGGGAAUUUUGGGACAAUGGGCGCAAGCCUGAUCCAGCCAUGCCGCGUGCGGAAGAAGG